GUGCUUGUUUCAGCAGCACUUAUACUAAAAUUAGAAUAACACAGAGAAAAUUAUCAUGACCCCUCUGCAAAGAUGACAUGUAAAUUUGUGAAACAUUCCAUAUUUUA